rnacentral:rRNA from 1 species
AAUCAACGCUGGCGGCGUGCCUCAGACAUGCAAGUCGAACGCGAAACCUUCCUUCGGGAGGGGAGUAGAGUGGCGCACGGGUGAGUAACACGUAGGUAAUCUACCUUUGGGUGGGGAAUAACAGCCGGAAACGGCUGCUAAUACCGCAUAAUGCAGCGGCUCGACAUCGAGACAGUUGUUAAAGCGGGGGAUCGUAAGACCUCGCGCCUAAAGAGGAGCCUGCGGCAGAUUAGCUAGUUGGUAAGGUAACGGCUUACCAAGGCGACGAUCUGUAGCCGGCCUGAGAGGGCGGUCGGCCACACUGACACUGACAUACGGGUCAGACUCCUACGGGAGGCAGCAGUCGGGAAUUUUGGGCAAUGGGCGAAAGCCUGACCCAGCAACGCCGCGUGAAGGAUGAAAUCCCUCGGGAUGUAAACUUCGCAAGAACGGGAAGAAUAAGUAGAAGCGAAUACCUU